rnacentral:rRNA from 1 species
UACGUAGGGGGCAAGCGUUGUCCGGAUUUAUUGGGCGUAAAGAGCGUGUAGGCGGCCAUACAGGUCCGUUGUGAAAACUGGAGGCUUAACCUCCAGACGUCGAUGGAAACCGUAUGGCUAGAGUCCGGAAGAGGAGAGUGGAAUUCCUGGUGUAGCGGUGAAAUGCGCAGAUAUCGGGAGGAACACCAAUGGCGAAGGCAGCUCGCUGGGACGUGACUGACGCUGAGACGCGAAAGCGUGGGGAGCAAACAGG